rnacentral:lncRNA from 1 species
AUUUUUGACUGAUUUGAAUGAGCAAAUUAACAGAUUUUCUUUUCUGCCAUUGUAUAGACACAGCUCAAUUCAAGGGACAGAUGCUCAAAGCUAACUGCAUAUCUAUUCUGACCCAGUCUUACACACUUUGCAUUUUUCACUUCUGCUUUCCGGGGUCCAGAUGAUUGAAUAUCUGUCUUCUCUCAUUGAGCACCCACUCAGGAAACAGCUCCAUGAGUGUGGUGCCUCAGCAACAAGAUGGAAAUAAUGACAACUCCUACUGAUUUUCUGCCAGGGCAAAUAGCUGAAGUUUCUGCUCCUGUGGAGACUCAUGAGAUGCCUAUUAGUCAGUCUGGAGCCUACAGGUGCCUGAGUUGCUGCAGGAGGAGAAACGGAAUGUCUUUCGGCUUUGCUUUUGUGUGGAUCUGUUGCAUGUUUACCAAGAAACAAUUCUUAUUUGAAUUUUCCAAAAAUGUGAGGUUUCCACUACCAUUUGGAAGAUACGGAGCCAUUGUUUUGAUUGUCACGCAUGGACUUCCACUGAAGUGUUUUUCCUCAAAGGAUGAACUAAUGGAAGAGAAGACAUAUACUGAUUCUACUUUGCAGAAAAUCAGCGGCUUCCAGCUUCUGAUGAAAUUCCCCAGCUUCCUAUCCUGUUUUAUCACUCGCCAAAGUCUUUCCUGUUACUGA